GCUCCAGACUCCUACGGGAGGCAGCAGUGGGGGAUAUUGCACAAUGGGCGCAAGCCUGAUGCAGCGACGCCGCGUGAGCGAAGAAGUAUUUCGGUAUGUAAAGCUCUAUCAGCAGGGAAGAAAAUGACGGUACCUGACUAAGAAGCUCCGGCUAAAUACGUGCCAGCAGCCGCGGUAAUACGUAUGGAGCAAGCGUUAUCCGGAAUUACUGGGUGUAAAGGGAGCGUAGACGGCAAUGCAAGCCAGAUGUGAAAGCCCGGGGCUCAACCCCGGGACUGCAUUUGGAACUGUGUAGCUGGAGUGUCGGAGAGGCAGGCGGAAUUCCUAGUGUAGCGGUGAAAUGCGUAGAUAUUAGGAGGAACACCAGUGGCGAAGGCGGCCUGCUGGACGACAACUGACGGUGAGGCGCGAAAGCGUGGGGAGCAAACAGGAUUAGAUACCCGUGUA
rnacentral:rRNA from 1 species